rnacentral:rRNA from 1 species
GUCGAACGGUGAACACGGAGCUUGCUCUGUGGGAUCAGUGGCGAACGGGUGAGUAACACGUGAGCAACCUGCCCCUGACUCUGGGAUAAGCGCUGGAAACGGCGUCUAAUACUGGAUACGAACCACGAAGGCAUCUUCAGUGGUUGGAAAGAAUUUCGGUUGGGGAUGGGCUCGCGGCCUAUCAGCUUGUUGGUGAGGUAAUGGCUCACCAAGGCGUCGACGGGUAGCCGGCCUGAGAGGGUGACCGGCCACACUGGGACUGAGACACGGCCCAGACUCCUACGGGAGGCAGCAGUGGGGAAUAUUGCACAAUGGGCGCAAGCCUGAUGCAGCAACGCCGCGUGAGGGAUGACGGCCUUCGGGUUGUAAACCUCUUUUAGCAGGGAAGAAGCGAAAGUGACGGUACCUGCAGAAAAAGCGCCGGCUAACUACGUGCCAGCAGCCGCGGUAAUACGUAGGGCGCAAGCGUUAUCCGGAAUUAUUGGGCGUAAAGAGCUCGUAGGCGGUUUGUCGCGUCUGCUGUGAAAUCCGGAGGCUCAACCUCCGGCCUGCAGUGGGUACGGGCAGACUAGAGUGCGGUAGGGGAGAUUGGAAUUCCUGGUGUAGCGGUGGAAUGCGCAGAUAUCAGGAGGAACACCGAUGGCGAAGGCAGAUCUCUGGGCCGUAACUGACGCUGAGGAGCGAAAGGGUGGGGAGCAAACAGGCUUAGAUACCCUGGUAGUCCACCCCGUAAACGUUGGGAACUAGUUGUGGGGUCCAUUCCACGGAUUCCGUGACGCAGCUAACGCAUUAAGUUCCCCGCCUGGGGAGUACGGCCGCAAGGCUAAAACUCAAAGGAAUUGACGGGGACCCGCACAAGCGGCGGAGCAUGCGGAUUAAUUCGAUGCAACGCGAAGAACCUUACCAAGGCUUGACAUAUACGAGAACGGGCCAGAAAUGGUCAACUCUUUGGACACUCGUAAACAGGUGGUGCAUGGUUGUCGUCAGCUCGUGUCGUGAGAUGUUGGGUUAAGUCCCGCAACGAGCGCAACCCUCGUUCUAUGUUGCCAGCACGUAAUGGUGGGAACUCAUGGGAUACUGCCGGGGUCAACUCGGAGGAAGGUGGGGAUGACGUCAAAUCAUCAUGCCCCUUAUGUCUUGGGCUUCACGCAUGCUACAAUGGCCGGUACAAAGGGCUGCAAUACCGCGAGGUGGAGCGAAUCCCAAAAAGCCGGUCCCAGUUCGGAUUGAGGUCUGCAACUCGACCUCAUGAAGUCGGAGUCGCUAGUAAUCGCAGAUCAGCAACGCUGCGGUGAAUACGUUCCCGGGUCUUGUACACACCGCCCGUCA